CUCUGUGUAGUAACAGCUGCUCUAUGUGAAAUCACUCACCUGAUGGAAUUUACCACUGAUUGGAGAACCGGCUUUACUGACCAGAUGCGCAUUAAUUAUCGGCCGAUAUUUAUUGUGCACCCCUAAUAUUUAGGCAAACUCUGUUCAAAAGCUUUCACCCCCCCGGCUUUUAAUGCAUGGUUUUAUCUUCUGGAGUAUCAGAGGGGACCAGCAUGGUGUAGUAUUUGCAAAAUGCAGAGACCAGUGAUGCAUUCCUGCACAUUUUGUGCCUUGAGGACCAGACAAUGACAUCCCAGAUCAUCGCCAUUGAUUCGGGCCAUGCCACUGAAAUGGACUCAUCACUUGAGGCUGUUGAUCUUUGUUUCAAAUUCUUUUUCUGUUGAUCUUUCUAGUCCUUUUUGUGCUUUAUGUUAACUAUGCUAAGCAGUGUCUUCCUACCUGAGAAUUUCUCCAGCAUGCAGGAUAUCAUAUUGAUGGAAAUGAGUCUAAAUGUGUGAAGUUUUUGAGGGCAACAGUUUUUUUUCUGCUCACUUGUAACAUUUCAAAUUUUGUGUCACAUGAAUUGUCUGUUGUAGGAUUCUUUGUUUGGCUUAGUUUUAAUAGCACAGUGUUUGUUCUGACUCUCGUGUGGCAAUAAUCAAUUAUUGAGUGUUCUGAUGAUGCAAGGUUGACAAAGAAUAGGAAUUUACGGUGCCUAGUUUACACUGUUUUGUGGUUUAAAGAAAUCUACAAAAUCUUGUUUUUAUUUGUGUCUGUAAGGGUUGGAUGAAAUGUGUGACAGCACCCAUUCAAAAAUUGUUUUAAAAAGAAAUGUCAAAACUUAUUAAAUGGAUAUGUACAGUUGCA